ensembl:ncRNA F45H7.10 ncRNA
UAAGCCUAAGCCUAAGCCUAAGCCUAAGCCUAAGCCUAAGCCUAAGCCUAAGCCUAAGCCUAAGACUAAGCCUAAGCCUAAGCCUAAGCCUAAA